rnacentral:rRNA from 1 species
CUACGGGACGCUCCAGUGGGGAAUAUUGCACAAUGGGGGAAACCCUGAUGCAGCGACGCCGCGUGAAGGAAGAAGUAUCUCGGUAUGUAAACUUCUAUCAGCAGGGAAGAAAGUGACGGUACCUGACUAAGAAGCCCCGGCUAACUACGUGCCAGCAGCCGCGGUAAUAUGUAGGGGGCAAGCGUUAUCCGGAUUUACUGGGUGUAAAGGGAGCGUAGACGGAGAGGCAAGUCUGAUGUGAAAGGCCGGGGCUCAACCCCGGGACUGCAUUGGAAACUGUCCCUCUUGAGUACCGGAGGGGUAAGCGGAAUUCCUAGUGUAGCGGUGAAAUGCGUAGAUAUUAGGAGGAACACCAGUGGCGAAGGCGGCUUACUGGACGGUAACUGACGUUGAGGCUCGAAAGCGUGGGGAGCAAACAGGAUUAGAUACCCCGGUAGUC